ACCGGGCCUAAGAUGUAAUGCCUUAGCCUAUAAAAUCAUAAAAACACCUGUUGCCUCAACA
rnacentral:sRNA from 1 species